rnacentral:lncRNA from 1 species
UUAGCACCUCUGAAAUGUCGGGUCGUGUAAUGUUUUAGAUAUUUUUGACAAAUUUUUAGAACUUGCCACAGUUUCCAUCAGAAGUGGCACAUUGAAGAGGCAGUAACUGUAUUUUGGAAGGGUGCUGUUCUUGAGGUUAACAGUGGAAACUUUUCCCCUUUGUUAUUUUGCUUAGCCAGACAGGGCAACAAAGAUGAUUGGGAAUGAAGAGGACAUUUCUGACAUCUCCCGUCGUGCAACUGUGAAUAAGAGGACAAGUGGAAUUCUGUGGAGGCAGUCGUUCUUUCAGUGUGGAAAAAAAUUACUGUGAAGGACAAAAAAAUUGACACACUUAAAAGGCAGAAAAGGAAAGAACGGAAGGCAGAGAACAAGAGGGGAAAAGAAAUCUCCAGCUCUUCCUACUGAUGUUGAUGCACUUCUGAUCAUCUGAAAAAAUCAACAGGGAAAAGGAAGGAGAAAAGGUUCCCUGGGCAGAUAAACAUUCAGGGGUGCCUCAGAUGACAAUAGACUUGACAAAGUGCACCCAGAUGAGAAACAAAUUCAAUGCAUUA